UACGUAGGGCGCAAGCGUUGUCCGGAAUUAUUGGGCGUAAAGAGCUCGUAGGCGGCUUGUCACGUCGGGUGUGAAAGCCCGGGGCUUAACCCCGGGUCUGCAUUCGAUACGGGCAGGCUAGAGUGUGGUAGGGAGAUCGGAAUUCCCGGUGUAGCGGUGAAAUGCGCAGAUAUCGGGAAGAACACCCGUGGCGAAGGCGGCUCUCUGGAACGCAACUGACGCUGAGACGCGAAAGCGUGGGAGCAAACAGG
rnacentral:rRNA from 1 species